rnacentral:rRNA from 1 species
AUUGAACGCUGGCGGCAUGCUUUACACAUGCAAGUCGGACGGCAGCACAGAGAAGCUUGCUUCUUGGGUGGCGAGUGGCGAACGGGUGAGUAAUAUAUCGGAACGUACCGAGUAAUGGGGGAUAACUAAUCGAAAGAUUAGCUAAUACCGCAUAUUCUCUGAGGAGGAAAGCAGGGGACCUUCGGGCCUUGCGUUAUUCGAGCGGCCGAUAUCUGAUUAGCUAGUUGGUGGGGUAAAGGCCAACCAAGGCGACGAUCAGUAGCGGGUCUGAGAGGAUGAUCCGCCACACUGGGACUGAGACACGGCCCAGACUCCUACGGGAGGCAGCAGUGGGGAAUUUUGGACAAUGGGCGCAAGCCUGAUCCAGCCAUGCCGCGUGUCUGAAGAAGGCCUUCGGGUUGUAAAGGACUUUUGUCAGGGAAGAAAAGGCUGUUGCUAAUACCGACAGCUGAUGACGGUACCUGAAGAAUAAGCACCGGCUAACUACGUG